ensembl:snRNA U1 U1 spliceosomal RNA
GUCCUUACUUGGCAGGGGAGAUACCAUUAUAAAGAAGGCAGUUCACCCAGGGUGAGGCUCAGCCGUUGCACUCUGGCUGUGCUGACCCCUGUGAGUUCCCCAAAUGUGGGAAUCUUGACUGCAUAAUUUCUGGCAGUGGGGGACUGCGGUCGCGCUCUCCCCUG